rnacentral:rRNA from 1 species
UGCAAGUCGAGCGCGUGGCAACACGAGCGGCAGACGGGUGAGUAACGCGUGGGAAUCUACCGGACCCUACGGAAUAACGCAUGGAAACGUGUGCUAAUACCGUAUACGCCCUACGGGGGAAAGAUUUAUCGGGGUUUGAUGAGCCCGCGUUGGAUUAGCUAGUUGGUGGGGUAAAGGCCUACCAAGGCGACGAUCCAUAGCUGGUCUGAGAGGAUGAUCAGCCACAUUGGGACUGAGACACGGCCCAAACUCCUACGGGAGGCAGCAGUGGGGAAUAUUGGACAAUGGGCGCAAGCCUGAUCCAGCCAUGCCGCGUGAGUGAUGAAGGCCCUAGGGUUGUAAAGCUCUUUCACCGGAGAAGAUAAUGACGGUAUCCGGAGAAGAAGCCCCGGCUAACUUCGUGCCAGCAGCCGCGGUAAUACGAAGGGGGCUAGCGUUGUUCGGAAUUACUGGGCGUAAAGCGCACGUAGGCGGACAUUUAAGUCAGGGGUGAAAUCCCGGAGCUCAACUCCGGAACUGCCUUUGAUACUGGGUGUCUUGAGUGUGGAAGAGGUGAGUGGAAUUCCGAGUGUAGAGGUGAAAUUCGUAGAUAUUCGGAGGAACACCAGUGGCGAAGGCGGCUCACUGGUC